UCAGGUGAUCUGCGGAGUCACUGCUAUCGGUCAUUAGACCUGCGAGUCAGAGGGUUCAACCCUCGGGGACUGCUCAAUAACACGUUGAUUAACUGACUGUGGUGUGAGCUAACCCGGGAAACUGGGGAUAAUAAUCCAUAAAUUAAGAUAUCUGGAAUGAUUUGUAACUCAAAGCUCCGGCGCCACAGGAUGGAUCUGCGGACGCAUUAUGUAAGUAGUUGGGGUAUGAUGCCCACACUAACCUGUAAUCGGUNACGGGUUGUGUGGAACAAGAGCCCGGAGAUGGAAUCUGAGACACGAUUCCAGGCCCUACUGGGCGCAGCAUGCGCGAAAACUUUACAAUGCAUGAAACUGUGAUAAGGGAACCCCGAGUGUCCGUACACGCGGGCUGUCUGGGUGUUUAAAAUUGCACCAAAGAAAGGGCCGUGCAAGACCGGUGCCAGCCGGCGCGGUAAUACCGGAGGCUCGAGUGGUGACCACUUCUAUUGGGCUUCAAGCGUUCGUAGCUGGACUGCUAAGUCCCUUGGGAAAUCCGACG
rnacentral:rRNA from 1 species